rnacentral:rRNA from 1 species
GAUGAACGCUGACAGAAUGCUUAACACAUGCAAGUCAACUUGAAUUUGGGUUUUUAACUUAGAUUUGGGUGGCGGACGGGUGAGUAACGCGUAAAGAACUUGCCUCACAGCUAGGGACAACAUUUAGAAAUGAAUGCUAAUACCUGAUAUUAUGAUUUUAAGGCAUCUUAGAAUUAUGAAAGCUAUAAGCACUGUGAGAGAGCUUUGCGUCCCAUUAGCUAGUUGGAGAGGUAACAGCUCACCAAGGCGAUGAUGGGUAGCCGGCCUGAGAGGGUGAACGGCCACAAGGGGACUGAGACACGGCCCUUACUCCUACGGGAGGCAGCAGUGGGGAAUAUUGGACAAUGGACCGAGAGUCUGAUCCAGCAAUUCUGUGUGCACGAUGAAGUUUUUCGGAAUGUAAAGUGCUUUCAGUUGGGAAGAAAUAAAUGACGGUACCAACAGAAGAAGUGACGGCUAAAUACGUGCCAGCAGCCGCGGUAAUACGUAUGUCACGAGCGUUAUCCGGAUUUAUUGGGCGUAAAGCGCGUCUAGGUGGUUAUGUAAGUCUGAUGUGAAAAUGCAGGGCUCAACUCUGUAUUGCGUUGGAAACUGUAUAACUAGAGUACUGGAGAGGUAAGCGGAACUACAAGUGUAGAGGUGAAAUUCGUAGAUAUUUGUAGGAAUGCCGAUGGGGAAGCCAGCUUACUGGACAGAUACUGACGCUAAAGCGCGAAAGCGUGGGUAGCAAACAGGAUUAGAUACCCUGGUAGUCCAAGGGCGAAUUCCACAGUGGAUAUCAAGCUUAUCGAUACCGUCGACCUCGAGGGGGGGCCCGGUACCCAAUAUAUUGUUCACUUUAGUGAGGGGUUA